rnacentral:rRNA from 1 species
UACAGAGGUGGCAAGCGUUGUUCGGAAUUACUGGGCGUAAAGGGCGCGUAGGCGGUUCGUCAAGUCCUGUGUGAAAUCCCCCGGCUCAACUGGGGAACUGCACAGGAAACUAGCGGGCUUGAGUUCGGGAGAGGGAAGCGGAAUUCCGGGUGUAGCGGUGAAAUGCGUAGAUAUCCGGAGGAACACCGGUGGCGAAGGCGGCUUCCUGGACCGACACUGACGCUGAGGCGCGAAGGCCAGGGGAGCAAACGGG